rnacentral:rRNA from 1 species
CCUACGGGUCGCACCAGUGGGGAAUAUUGGACAAUGGGGGGAACCCUGAUCCAGCCAUGCCGCGUGUGUGAAGAAGGCCUUAUGGUUGUAAAGCACUUUAAGCGAGGAGGAAGCUCUUUUGGUUAAUACCCAAGAUGAGUGGACGUUACUCGCAGAAUAAGCGCCGGCUAACUCUGUGCCAGCAGCCGCGGUAAUACAGAGGGUGCGAGCGCUAAUCGGAUUUACUGGGCGUAAAGCGUGCGUAGGCGGCUUUUUAAGUCGGAUGUGAAAUCACCGAGCUUAACUUGGGAAUUGCAUUCGAUACUGGGAAGCUAGAGUAUGGGAGAGGAUGGUAGAAUUCCAGGUGUAGCGGUGAAAUGCGUAGAGAUCUGGAGGAAUACCGAUGGCGAAGGCAGCCAUCUGGCCUAAUACUGACGCUGAGGUACGAAAGCAUGGGGAGCAAACAGGAUUAGAUACCCUAGUAGUC